rnacentral:rRNA from 1 species
UACGGAGGGGGCUAGCGUUGUUCGGAAUCACUGGGCGUAAAGCGCACGUAGGCGGAUAUUUAAGUCGGGGGUGAAAUCCUGGAGCUCAACUCCAGAACUGCCUCCGAUACUGAAUGUCUUCGAGUCCGGGAGAGGUGAGUGGAACUGCGAGUGUAGAGGUGAAAUUCGUAGAUAUUCGCAAGAACACCAGUGGCGAAGGCGGCUCACUGGCCCGGUACUGACGCUGAGGUGCGAAAGCGUGGGGAGCAAACAGG